UGCAGCAGCCAUAUCACCCUGCAACUCACAACUGGCAACCCACUGAAGCUCAGCAGGUGUGAGCCUGGUCAGUACUUGGAUGGGACACAUCCUGGGAAAAACUAAGGUUGCUGCUGGAG
rfam:Lepisosteus oculatus linkage group LG5, whole genome shotgun sequence.